AAAAUUCAAGAUGUCUGCGCCCUUGAGUUAAAAAAAAACACAUGAAUUUAUGAUGAAACUCACGAAUAUGCAGAAUCAAUCAAACACCGGUUAAUCAAUAUGUUUUAUUUAUUGUAUUGUUCGAGAACAUGUUUUAAAUUCAAACGAUGGGAUUUGAUAAAACGGUGGGCGUCCACGACUACUGGUGUAAAUUCUAUGACAGUCAAAGUUGGGAAAAGAGAUCUCACCAUAGAAACAGGGAAAUUGGCAAAAUUUGCAGAUGGGGCUGCAGUUAUAAAGCAAGGGGAGACAAGUGUUCUUGUCACAGUGGUCAGCAAGUCUCUGUCCCAGCCCAGCUCCUUUCUGCCCCUCACAGUUGAUUAUCGACUGAAGGCAGCCGCUGCUGGGCGGAUUCCCAUGAACUUCUUCAGGCGAGAGAGGGGCCCCACAGACAAUGAGAUACUUACUAGUCGUGUAAUAGAUAGAUCUAUUAGACCCCUGUUCCCAGAAGACUGUCAAAGAGAAUUACAGGUGAUGUGUAAUGUACUAGCAGUGGACGGAGAGAAUGAUCCAGCAGUCCUCAGCAUCAACGCAGCCUCCUGUGCCACAGCUUUAUCAUUAAUGCCAUGGAAUGGACCAGUGGGGGCUGUCAGAGUUGGUUAUAUAGAUGGAAAGAUUGUGAUCAACCCACAGAGGCAUGAGCUGGAGAAGAGUGAUAUCAACUUGAUCGUUGCUUCUAGUUUGCAGGGAGUAGUAAUGCUGGAAGGUGGAGCGAAUAUUGUCAGCUAUGAUCUAAUGAAACAAGCCAUAAAUACUGGUCACAUAGAGAACAUGAAAAUAAUCCAAAGUAUCCAACAAAUGACUGAGAAUAGCACAAAAGCCAAGAGCACUCAGAAGGAAGUUCAGGAUGAACUUUGGAAAACAGUUUACAGUGUAUGCAGCAAGGCCUUCUACCCUAUAUUCAAUGACUACACUCAUGACAAGUUCUCGAGAGAUGCGAAAGUAAAGACAGAAAUAGAGAAAGCAACCAAAGUAUUAUUAGAGAUUUAUCCUAAUGUAGACAGAGAGUUAUUGAACUCGUACAUUCAAAAAUGCUUCAAAGAGGUCUUCAGAAAAAACAUCUUUAAAACAGACAAAAGGUGUGACGGUAGAGGGUUGAGUGACCUCAGGAACAUUUCAUGUAGUGUGGACGUUCUCAAGCCUCUCCAUGGAUCCUCUCUGUUCCAGAGAGGUCAGACUCAGGUAAUAGGUCAAGAGAGGUAAGAGGUCAUCCAUGAGGUGAAAGGUCAACUGAGGUGAAAGUUUGUGCAUAUUCAUCUCUCAAAAUAAAAUGUUAUAUUUGGCCAUUAAGACACUCAUAAUCACUUUGUACAUGUGUCUUCUUUCUUCUUUUUCCAUUCAUUUUUAAAUAAACCAACUUGUUGAUAAGCGACCAAGAAGUACUUUCAUUACAUUUAUGUAUAUCUAAAAUGAUAUGCAUUUACUAAGACAUUAACAUGAUUUAUAAUGAUUAAUCUUGUAAUGAAGGUACAUGUAAAUUGAAAUCUUUUGUUUCGUUUUAAAGUUUUCUUUAGUCUUGAAUUUUGAUGCUUUCUAAUGACCUUAUCUAAAUUAUGUUUUAGGUUCUUUGCACCAUGGCCUAUGAUUCUCUGGACAUGUCUUUAAAAUUUGAUCCGGUUUCACAAUUAAUCAGUGGUGUAAAGGAGAAGAACUUUAUGCUACACUAUGAAUUUCCUCCAUAUGCUACAAAUGAAAUCGGAAGACCCGGGGCAGCUUUGGCCAGAAGAGAAAUUGGACAUGGUGCCCUGGCUGAGAGGGGACUCAGGCCCAUCAUCCCAGAUAACCUUCCUUUUUCCCUGCGUGUCACCUCAGAAGUUCUGGAAUCCAAUGGAUCAUCAUCCAUGGCCUCAGUGUGUGGGGGGAGUCUGGCCCUGAUGGACGCUGGUGUGCCGGUGAAGGAGGCUGCUGCUGGGGUCGCUAUUGGACUGAUGACCAAGAUCAACUACCAGGGGGAAACCAUUGACCACCGAAUCCUCACAGACCUUCUGGGUAUUGAAGAUUACUGUGGAGACAUGGAUUUCAAAAUGGCAGGGACAAGAAAUGGUAUCACUGCUAUACAGGCAGAUAUCAAGAUAGAAGGUUUACCUUUAAAAAUUGUAUCCAAAGCCAUUGACGCUGGAAAAAGUGGAAUUGUUAGGAUACUAGAUAUAAUGGAUACUGUGAUAAAAACUCCUAGACAAGACAAGAAAAAUUCCCCUGUCAAAGAGACAUUUGUGAUCAACCCUAAGAAGAGAGGCCGAAUUAUGGGGUUUGGGGGUUCAAAAAUACGAGAAUUGGCACAGAAAACAGGAGUACAGAUGUCGCCUGUGGAUGAUAGUGUGUUUGAAUUGUUUGCUCCAGACUCAUCUGCAAUGGAAGAAGGAAAAGCCCUUCUAAACUCGUGGCUAGAGGAAAAGCCUGCUCCAGAUAUGGAAUUUGGAGCAAUUUACACUGUUAAAAUACUGGAGGUGAAUGUAACAGGUGCUUUGGUAGAAAUUCAUAAAAAUAUGGAGCCUGUUUUUAUACACAGAAGACAGCUAGACACAAGAUUGGUUGAGGAUGCCAGGCUGCUUGGAUUCAAACCUGGGGAUGAAAUCCAGGUGAAGUACUUUGGCAACGACCCAACUUCCGGACAGGUUCGGCUUUCUCGCCGACUUCUCCUCUCUCCGUCAGUCUCCGCCUUCAAGUCUUGAUGACUGUGAUCCAUAGUUCAAGAUGAACAUUGCUCGCAAAAGCAUUGUUGUUGCCAGCAGUAAACAAACAAAAGAUAAGACACAUGUUUUAAUGUGAUUCAAUGGAGAUCUUGUGGGAAGAUUGAGAAAACAUGGUUUAUAACAUAACAUGAACCUGCCUAUAAGGAUCCCAUUUUUCUGAUUCACCAGUGAAGUUGAUUCAAUGUGAUUUCAGGAUAUAUUGUUCAUGUUUUAUAGGAAAUUCCUGUAAAGAUUCCUUUGACACGGUUAACUAUUUUAAAGCAAAUUAAACUCAACAAAUAUUAUGAUUUAAACCAACCUGUUAAUCUGGUAUCUAGAUUAUUGUGAAGAGAUUCAUAAAUGUUCCUAUCCUGGGUUUUUUCCUCAUGUUUUAUGAACGCUCAAUAUCCAUAUACAUGCUUUAUCGGCCAAGAUUUUAAAUAGGAAGAGUUAUCUUCCUUGAAGUUCUUUUUUGGAAGAUCUGUUAUAUCUUCUCUAGCCACAAAAAUUAUUCAUAAGAGGAAAAUGUUAUUUCCUUAAAACACUUCAUACUGUUAUUGCAAAGUACAAUUGUGAUCACAUACAUGAGAUAUUUAAAUGAACAUGUAUGAAUAAAAUAAAAAAAUAUUCAUAUAUU
rnacentral:misc_RNA from 1 species